rnacentral:rRNA from 1 species
ACUCAAUAGAUACCCCGGUAGUCCACGCCGUAAACUAUGGAUGCUAGCUGUUAUCGGUAUCGACCCCGGUAGUAGCGAAAGCUAAACGCGUUAAGCAUCCCGCCUGUGGAGUACGAGCGCAAGCUUAAAACAUAAAGGAAUUGACGGGGACCCGCACAAGCGGUGGAGCGUGUUGUUUAAUUCGACGGUAAACGAGGAACCUUACCCAGGCUUGACAUCCCGCUAAGAUUUCCGAAAGGAAAUUGUGCCUUCGGGCCGCAGUGACAGGUGCUGCAUGGUCGUCGUCAGCUCGUGUCGUGAGAUGUUUGGUUAAGUCCAUCAACGAGCGCAACCCUUAUAGUCAGUUGGAUUUUUCUGGCUAGACUGCCCCGGGUAACGGGGAGGAAGGAGGGGAUGAUGUCAGAUCAUUAUUGCCCUUACGUCUGGGGCUACAAACACGCUACAAUGGCCGGUACAAAGGGCAGCCAACCCGCGAGGGGAGCAAAUCCCAUCAAAGCCGGUCUCAGUUCGGAUUGUAGGCUGAAACUCGCCUGCAUGAAGCUGGAAUCGC